rnacentral:rRNA from 1 species
GACAGAGGGGGCAAGCGUUGCUCGGAAUCACUGGGCGUAAAGGGCGCGUAGGCGGGAUGGCAAGUCGGUCGUGAAAUCCUUCGGCCCAACCGAAAAACGUCGGCCGAUACUGCCGUUCUUGAGGGAUGCAGAGGAGACUGGAAUUCCCGGUGUAGCGGUGAAAUGUGUAGAGAUCGGGAGGAACACCGGUGGCGAAGGUGGGUCUCUGGGCAUUUCCUGACGCUGAGGCGCGAAAGCGUGGGGAGCAAACGGG